rnacentral:rRNA from 1 species
UACGAAGGGUGCAAGCGUUACUCGGAAUUACUGGGCGUAAAGCGUGCGUAGGUGGUUUUUUAAGUCCGUUGUGAAAGCCCUGGGCUUAACCUGGGAAUUGCAGUCGAUACUACUCAGCUAGAGUAUGGGAGAGGGCAGUGGAAUUCCCGGUGUAGCGGUGAAAUGCGUAGAUAUCGGGAGGAACAUCAGUGGCGAAGGCGGCUGCCUGGCCCAAUACUGACACUCAGGUGCGACAGCGUGGGGAGCAAACAGG